rnacentral:rRNA from 1 species
CGCAGGCGGGUUUGUCAGUCAGGGGUGAAAUCCUACAGCUUAACUGUAGAACUGCCUUUGAUACUGCAAACCUUGAGUUCGGAAGAGAGAGGCGGAAUUCCAGGUGUAGUGGUGAAAUACGUAGAUAUCUGGAAGAACACCAGAGGCGAAGGCGGUCUCUUGGUCCGUAACUGACGCUGAGGCGCGAAAGCGUGGGGAGCAAACA